GCCGAAGUGGUGGAAUUGGUAGACACGCUAUCUUGAGGGGGUAGUGCCCUUUGGGCGUGCCGGUUCGAGUCCGGCCUUCGGCACCA
rnacentral:tRNA from 1 species